rnacentral:lncRNA from 1 species
CCUCUCCCUUACAUGUCCAGGAGUUGGACAUCAGAAUUUUUGCAUGCCCAAGAGUUGGGCACAUGCCAAGGGAAGGGAAGAAAAAGCGAAGGUGCUGAUUUUCUUGAGAAGAAAAUCAAGGAAGAUUGAGGUGCUAGAUUUCAUACUAAUUUUUUUGAGAAAGAAAUCAAGAAAAGGGUUGGAUUUUCUUAUGAAGAAAAUCAAGAAAGACUGAGGAUGGAUCUCCUUGAGAAGAAAAUCAAGAAAGGAUCAAAAAGAGUUCUUGAUCCAUUCGUGUGUGGAGCAUGAUCUGCAAAGAGAGAAGGCUGAAAUCCUUGAGAAGGAUUUUCAGUAAAGAUAGAAAGAAAUCUACCAUCAAAGAGGAUCUCUGCAUGAAAACUAGCACCCCAGUGAGAUUAGAUACUUUGAUUAGACAACAACUUUAUGUGGAUACCUGUAAAGGUUGGAUGUAUGUGCGACUUCAAAUGAAUCAUGAAGACAUCUACGAUCAUCGAAUUGUGGUGAAGAACUAUCUGCAUAAUGGUGAAGAUCUGAUCUUCUUCUUUCAAUCUUAAUCUUAACGACUAUGAGGGAUCAAGGGUUGAUCGUGGUG